GGAGUUGUGGCUUAGUGGUAGAGCACCUGCUUGGCAUGUGUGAGGCCCUGGGUUCGAUCCUCAGCACCG
rnacentral:tRNA from 1 species